rnacentral:piRNA from 1 species
UCAUAAGGCCUGACGGAGAGAAGAAGG